UUGGAAUUGUUAUGGCCUCAAUGGUUUGUAUCCUUCUGUGUAUACUUUUUGGAAUGGCAAUGUUUAUCUUGUGCCUUUCAAUGUUGGAAGUGUUUUAGUUUUC